GGAAAACAGUUUAUUCGAGGGCUACAGAGCAGCCCACAGAAUCACAGCAAGGUCUGGAGAACGAGGCUCAGGAUCGCAGAGCAGAACAAUGGCCAGCCACACUGCAGGACUCAUUUCAUGAGGAUGCCACUGCCACCCUGUGGCUCAGGCCACCACCAGCCCUGGCCACGGACCCUUGACCCCUCCAGCCACAGUGCCGCCCCUGCUUCUCUGGGAGCUUGAACUUGCUGUCCCUCUCUGUGCUCCUUCAUGCUAUUAACUCUUGGUUGAGAGACUGAGGCUGGUGGCCCGCUGGACAGAGCCUGGAUCAUAUGUCCACACUCUAGCUGCAAGGGAUGCUGGGAAAGGGAGUUCUUGGCGGUUUCAUUUUCUUGAGGGGGGGUUGGGCUCCGUUUCCCUUCAAGAGCCAUCAGCUGGGGAAUUCCUAGGAGCAGGGUACACAUGCUGAGUAGUUCACACUGACCAAGUGAAUGAACCAAUAAGUCAAAGGCCUUAGGCAGUUUCCCUCCCUUGUUGCUGCCUCAGUUUCCUCAUCUGCAGAAGUAAACCAGGUUUACCUUUCAGUUCCCCUCUGGCACUAACGUUCUGUGACUCUUGUCUUGAGUUGUUUAUCCGUCCAAACCUGAUGGCACUGAGAGCACAACCUAAUCUGGGGAGAGGAGAGCGCUCUACCAUCCCACCAGUCAGCACAGCCCGGGUUACACCACAGAACAAACCAACCUCCGCAUCCCAAGGACUGAACUUGCCAGGAGAGAUGGCCAUCAGAGGGGCUUUCCUCCCCCGAAAAGGGGCGCCUUUUCGCCCACUGCUGUUGCUCCUUUCUUCGGCUCCUGGGAAGCAGAGUUGCCUUGGGCUCUUCUGAAAGAACAUGGGGUCAGAAAGCCUGAAGAAGAAAUUUGCUGUUCCACCUAAGAGGUCAAGUUCAAAGGCAGGCAGCUCCACAGAGGAGGCAUCUGUGAGCAGGAAACUGAUGAUGAUUCGUUCCUUGGUUCAUCCAUCCAUUGAAGAAAUAUUUAUGGAGCUUCCACCGUGCAUCAGCUUCUUUCUUACUGGGCUUCAGUUCACAGGGCUUCUCAGGAUGGGAAAGAAAAAAGACGACCUAAUCAGGAAGGACCAGGAGGAGCUCAGCCCUCCACCACCACUCCCAGCACCACACAGAGGACUGGGAGCCUCCCUCGACACUGGAAACGACACAGGGAGCCAUCCAGACUUGAGGUUGGGACUGGAUCCCCAUGAAAUUCUGUCCCAGUUCGAGAGAAG
rnacentral:lncRNA from 1 species